AUUGAACGCUGGCGGAAUGCUUUACACACGCAAGUCGAACGGCAGCACGGACUUCGGUCUGGUGGCGAGUGGCGAACGGGUGAGUAAUGUAUCGGAACGUGCCCAGUCGUGGGGGAUAACGUAGUGAAAAUUACGCUAAUACCGCAUACGAUCUAUGGAUGAAAGCGGGGGAUCGCAAGACCUCGCGCGAUUGGAGCGGCCGAUAUCAGAUUAGGUAGUUGGUGGGGUAAAGGCCCACCAAGCCAACGAUCUGUAGCUGGUCUGAGAGGACGACCAGCCACACUGGAACUGAGACACGGUCCAGACUCCUACGGGAGGCAGCAGUGGGGAAUUUUGGACAAUGGGCGAAAGCCUGAUCCAGCCGUUCCGCGUGCAGGAUGAAGGCCCUCGGGUUGUAAACUGCUUUUGUACAGAACGAAAAGGUUUCUACUAAUACUAGGAGCUCAUGACGGUACUGUAAGAAUAAGCACCGGCUAACUACGUGCCAGCAGCCGCAGUAA
rnacentral:rRNA from 1 species